CCCACGCCGCGCUGUCGCACCGCCGCACUCCGUCCGCGCCGCCCGUUCUCCGCGACCACUAACUUUUGCCGCUCGCCGCUGCGGCCGACUCACUGAUACCGGAGCUCAAUAUAUUUUUAUUCUGUUCUAAAACUAAUAAUUAAAUAAUUGAGUUAUUUAAACAGUCGAAUAGUGUUAUUGUCGAAUGGUGGUGGAGUGCGCUGUGCGCGUAACGCGUAUUUUUAUUUUGAAAACGCUCAUAACGAUGUGCCAGUGAAUUGAUGAUUAAUUAAUUAUUUAAUGAAGAGGAUUCGUAUUGUCAUUGAGUGUUUCGAUUGCCGAAUACACCACCCGCCGUCCGCACGUCUCGCCCCGCCCGCCCGCCCAUGCCUGCGCGGCGAGGGAACACAACCUGAAAAAUCAGAAAGAGAGAAGA
rnacentral:lncRNA from 1 species